AUAUUGCACAAUGGGGGAAACCCUGAUGCAGCCAUGCCGCGUGUGUGAAGAAGGCCUUCGGGUUGUAAAGCACUUUCAGUAGGGAGGAAAGGUAGCGGUUUAAUACGCUGUUACUGUGACGUUACCUACAGAAGAAGGACCGGCUAACUCCGUGCCAGCAGCCGCGGUAAUACGGAGGGUCCGAGCGUUAAUCGGAAUUACUGGGCGUAAAGCGUGCGCAGGCGGUUUGUUAAGCGAGAUGUGAAAGCCCCGGGCUCAACCUGGGAAUUGCAUUUCGAACUGGCGAACUAGAGUCUUGUAGAGGGGGGUAGAAUUCCAGGUGUAGCGGUGAAAUGCGUAGAGAUCUGGAGGAAUACCGGUGGCGAAGGCGGCCCCCUGGACAAAGACUGACGCUCAGGCACGAAAGCGUGGGGAGCAAACAGGAUUAGAUACCCUGGUAGUCCACGCCGUAAACGAUGUCUACUCGGAGUUUGGUGUCUUGAACACUGGGCUCUCAAGCUAACGCAUUAAGUAGACCGCCUGGGGAGUACGGCCGCAAGGUUAAAACUCAAAUGAAUUGACGGGGCCCAGC
rnacentral:rRNA from 1 species